rnacentral:rRNA from 1 species
GAUGAACGCUAGCGGCAGGCUUAACACAUGCAAGUCGAGGGGUAUAGGUUUUCGGACCUAGAGACCGGCGCACGGGUGCGUAACGCGUAUGCAAUCUACCUUUUACAGAGGGAUAGCCCAGAGAAAUUUGGAUUAAUACCUCAUAGUAUUAUAGAGUGGCAUCACUUUAUAAUUAAAGUUCCAACGGUAAAAGAUGAGCAUGCGUCCCAUUAGCUAGAUGGUAAGGUAACGGCUUACCAUGGCGACGAUGGGUAGGGGUCCUGAGAGGGAGAUCCCCCACACUGGUACUGAGACACGGACCAGACUCCUACGGGAGGCAGCAGUGAGGAAUAUUGGUCAAUGGGCGCAAGCCUGAACCAGCCAUGCCGCGUGCAGGAUGACGGUCCUAUGGAUUGUAAACUGCUUUUGUACAGGAAGAAACACUGGUUCGUGAACCAGCUUGACGGUACUGUAAGAAUAAGGAUCGGCUAACUCCGUGCCAGCCGCCGCCGUAAGAC